rnacentral:rRNA from 1 species
AGCGAACGCUGGCGGCAGGCCUAAUACAUGCAAGUCGAACGGCUCUUCGGAGCAGUGGCGGACGGGUGAGUAACGCGUGGGAAUGUGCCCUUAGGUACGGAACAACACAGGGAAACUUGUGCUAAUACCGUAUGUGCCCUUCGGGGGAAAGAUUUAUCGCCUUUGGAGCAGCCCGCGUUGGAUUAGCUAGUUGGUGAGGUAAAGGCUCACCAAGGCGACGAUCCAUAGCUGGUCUGAGAGGAUGACCAGCCACACUGGGACUGAGACACGGCCCAGACUCCUACGGGAGGCAGCAGUAGGGAAUCUUGCGCAAUGGGCGAAAGCCUGACGCAGCCAUGCCGCGUGUAUGAUGAAGGUCUUAGGAUUGUAAAAUACUUUCACCGGGGAAGAUAAUGACGGUACCCGGAGAAAAAGCCCCGGCUAACUUCGUGCCAGCCGCCGCCGUAAGAC